GAGGAUAUAGCUCGGCGGUAGAGCGCAUGCCCAGCAUGCACGAGGUCCUGGGUUCAGUUCCCAGUACCUCCA
rnacentral:tRNA from 1 species